GCUGGCGACCAUAGCAAGAGUGAACCACCUGAUCCUUCCCGAACUCAGAAGUGGAAACCUCUGGCGCUGAUGGUAGUGGGGAUUACCCAUGUGAGGAGUAAGUCAUCGCCAGCU
rnacentral:rRNA from 1 species